rnacentral:rRNA from 1 species
AUGCAAGACUAUUUCGCGGACAAUCCUACAUAUCCUCCGCACCUCUUCCGGAGAAGGUACCGAAUGCGCCGAUUCCUCUUUGUGAAACUUGUUCAAGCUUGCGAGGCAAAUUGCCGGUAUUUUACUCAAAGAAGGAAUGCCGCAGGCUUAAAGGGAUUUAGUGCAUAUCAAAAAAUCUCCGCAGCUAUGCGGGUGAUUGCAUAUGGCUUAUGA